rnacentral:rRNA from 1 species
GAUUCCCUUAGUAACGGCGAGCGAAAAGGGAACUGUCCAGCGCCAAGUCUUGACACCCAGGUGCUCAAGAGAUGCGGCGUUAAUGUGUUGGCGCCUCGUGUUCCGACCGGCCUUUCAAGUUCGCUUGACAGCGACGUCCAGAGCGGGUGCUAGGCCCAUAGAGAGGCUGGUCUGGUCCACGCCGGCCAACGCAUUCUAGAGUCAGGUUGCUUGAGAGUGCAGCUUAAAGUCGGUGGUAAACUCCAUCCAAGACUAAAUAUGACAGCGAGACCGAUAGCAAACAAGUACCGUGAGGGAAAGUUGCAAAGCACUUUGAAGAGAGAGUUCAAUAGUACGUGAAACCACUGGCAGGCAAACAGAUGGAACCACGAAUGUGCGCCCUGGUCGAUUCAAUCACCGUUGCGGGUCAGGCUGGUCGGGCGAGGGUCUCUCCGGAGGCUGGCUCGGCCGGGUUGCGACCUGCGGCGGUGGUGCAUUUCGUGCCAGGGAUGCUAAGCCACGUUCGACUAGAGCUGGAACGGCCGUAGGAUGGGAUCUGGGAAAGGUGGCCGGCACGUGCUUGCGCGUGUCGGUGUUACAGGCCCGGAUCGGAACCGUUGCCAAGCAGACUGGUCGAUGGAAGUGCUCCCUCGGGAGUGAGACUGCCGCUGCCCGCUGCAGCUAGUACGUGUUUCGCGGUGUUCUUGCAGUGCUUCGUUGUGCGACAAGACGCGGCAACAGCGCGUGCUAGUUGUGGCCUGCGGGCGGCAGUGGAACUGUGGUGCGAGUAGGUCGGUGUCCAUCUGACCCGUCUUGAAACACGGACCAAGGAGCCUAUCAUAUACGCGAGUCGCUCGGUCUUGAACAGGCCCGGGAGGCGGAAUGAAAGUGACUGGCUAUGAGACUUCGGUCGCAAUAGCGGUACGCCUACUUCGUUUAUUGGCGAUCAGGCGUAAUCGGAGCGUAUACGAUGGUACCCGAAAGAUGGUGAACUAUGCCUGGGCAAGACGAAGCCAGAGGAAACUCUGGUGGAGGUCUGUAGCGAUUCUGACGUGCAAAUCGAUCGUCAGACCUGGGUAUAGGGGCGAAAGACUAAUCGAACCAUCUAGUAGCUGGUUCCCUCCGAAGUUUCCCUCAGGAUAGCAGGCGCUCAGAAUGUCCAGUGUCAUCCGGUAAAGCUAAUGAUUAGAGGUCUUGGGGUUGAAACGACCUCAACCUAUUCUCAAACUUUAAAUGGGUGAGAUGGUUGACUUUCUUGAGUGAAGCCAACCAGUUGCAUGUGAGUGCCUAGUGGGCCAUUUUUGGUAAGCAGAACUGGCGCUGUGGGAUGAACCAAACGUCGAGAUAAGGAAUCGAAUGCGCACGCUCAUCAGACCCCAUGAAAGGUGUUGGUUGCUAUAGACAGCAGGACGGUGGCCAUGGAAGUCGGAAUCC